rnacentral:tRNA from 1 species
ACGUGGGUGGCUCAGUUGGUUGAGUGUCUGACUUCAGCUCAGGUCAUGAUCUCAUGGUCAGUGAGUUCGAGCCCCACGUU